AUUGAACGCUGGCGGCAGGCCUAACACAUGCAAGUCGAACGAGUGGCGGACGGGUGAGUAAUGUCUGGGAAACUGCCUGAUGGAGGGGGCUAACUACUGGAAAAGGUAGCUAAUACCGCAUACCAUCGGAUGUGCCCAGAUUGGAUUAGCUAGUAGGUGGGGUAAAGGCUCACCUAGGCGACGAUCCCUAGCUGGUCUGAGAGGAUGACAAGCCACCCUGGAACUGAGACACGGUCCAGACUCCUACGGUAGGCAGCAGUGGGGAAUAUUGCACAAUGGGCGCAAUCCUGAUACAGCCAUGCCGCGUGUAUGAAGAAGGCCUUCGGGUUGUAAAGCACUUUCAGCGGGGAGGCGUUACCCGCAGAAGAAGCACCGGCUAACUCCGUGCCAGCAGCCGCGGUAAUAC
rnacentral:rRNA from 1 species